GCCCAUGACGAUAAACCACUUACGACGGUCUUAUGACACACACCCGAACAUGGAUUGAGCACGAGUGUUACGAUAGUUUCUGGGGCGCCGCACAACAUUCC